rnacentral:rRNA from 1 species
GACGAACGCUGGCGGCGUGCUUAACACAUGCAAGUCGAACGGAAAGGCCCUGCUUUUGUGGGGCGCUCGAGUGGCGAACGGGUGAGUAACACGUGAGUAACCUGCCCCUGACUUUGGGAUAACUUCAGGAAACUGGGGCUAAUACCGGAUAGGAGCUCCUGCUGCAUGGUGGGGGUUGGAAAGUUUCGGCGGUUGGGGAUGGACUCGCGGCUUAUCAGCUUGUUGGUGGGGUAGUGGCUUACCAAGGCUUUGACGGGUAGCCGGCCUGAGAGGGUGACCGGCCACAUGGGGCCUGAGAUACGGACCAGACUCCAACGGGAGGCAGCAGGAGGGAAUAUUACAAAAUGGGCGGAAGCGAGAUACAGCGACGCCGCGUGCGGAAUGACGGCCUUCGAGUUGUAAACCGCUUUCGCCUGUGACGAAGCGUGAGUGACGGUAAUGGGUAAAAAAGCACCGGCUAACUACGUG